rnacentral:rRNA from 1 species
UACAGAGGUCUCAAGCGUUUGUUCGGAUUCAUUGGGCGUAAAGGGUGUGUAGGUGGCGCCGUAAGUCGGGUGUGAAAUUUCGGAGCUUAACUCCGAAACUGCAUUCGAUACUGCGGUGCUUGAGGACUGGAGAGGAGACUGGAAUUCAUGGUGUAGCAGUGAAAUGCGUAGAGAUCAUGAGGAAGACCAGUGGCGAAGGCGGGUCUCUGGACAGUUCCUGACACUGAGACACGAAGGCCAGGGGAGCAAAACGGG